GGAGUGUGUAACAACUCACCUGCCGAAUGAAGCAGCCCCGAAAAUGGAUGACGCUUUUUCAUGAGAAGUAUGCUGGACCAUAUCGCGAAACAUUACGUGCGGUAUGAGUAGGAGGGUGUCUAUUGCAUAGUUAAGGUUAUGAUUGAUCACAACUGGAGUGCAAUUGGGUACAGAUCUUGGUGAUAGUAGCAACUAUUCACAACACCAUUGUGAAUGCUUAUGCAGAGAAAGGUUCCAUGUGAACAGAAAUUGGACAUGGGUUAAUCGAUCCUAAGCAGAAUGAAAGAUCACAUUAUAGUUUAAUCACACUGCAACAGGGAAAUGUAUCGUGUUUACCAUAUCUGGUCUGCCAUUGCACCUGGUAACGGAGGGUGUGUCAGGUACGUCAUUGUGUGGGAUGUGAGGUGUUGUCUUUACUUCUUAACUGUGGGUAAGCCUGGAAGUGUGCCAAACAGAGAUAGGUGCUUCGCACAGAAAGUAGACCCCGCAUUACGGUGUUUGCGAUCUUCACACAAUGACGCCUCAAAAUCUGACGCGCCAUAUGCAGUGCAGCAGGUUGUACUAAUAUCCGCAUCAGGUCUCUAAGGUGAGUAGCCUCUGGUACGUAGAUUCAUGUGAGUAAGGGAAGUCGGCAACUUGGUUCCGUAUCCUUGGGAAAAGGAAUGGCUCUGACGAUUGAGCGGUAAGGUCUCUGCGCAGAGUACCAGACAGAUGCGCGCGCUGCGAUGUUCUUCACCGGAUAUCAUGGCGAGCAGCAAAUGCCUUGUGAAUGUGUAGUGAUAGGAUCUUCCGGCUUGCCGCAACGAACAAUUACCUCAGAACCGAUACGAUCAAGGGGAAUCCGACUGUUUAAUCAAAACAAAGCAUUACGAUUCUCAUAGCUGGGUUUGACGUAAUGUGAUUUCUGCCCAGUGCUCUGAAUGUCAAAGUGAAGAAAUUCGACCAAGCGCGGGUAAACGGCGGGAGUAACUAUGACUCUCUUAAGGUAGCCAAAUGCCUCGUCAUCUAACUUGUGACGCGCAUGAAUGGAUUAAUGAGAUUCCCACUGUCCCUAUCCACUGUCUAGCGAACCCACAGCCAAGGGAACGGGCUUGGAAUAAUCAGCGGGGAAAGAAGACCCUGUUGAGCUUGACUCUAGUUUGACGUUGUGGAUCGACUCAUGAGGUGUAGAAUAAGUGGGAGACCCGUCAACCUUGAAAUACCACUACUCGUGUUGUCUUUUUACUUAAUUCGUGACGUAGUGACUGGUCAACCGAUAACGUUGCUCAGUUCUGGAGCGUAAGUCUUUUUUUUACUAAAAGGAUGAUCUACGCGAAUGACAGCAUCAGGUGGGGAGUUUGGCUGGGGCGGCACAUCUGUAAAACGAUAACACAGGUGUCCUAAGUCGAGCUCAAUGAGAACAGAAAUCUCAUGUAGAAC
rnacentral:rRNA from 1 species